AUUGAACGCUGGCGGCAGGCCUAAUACAUGCAAGUCGAACGGUAACAUAAAAGAAGCUUGCUUCUUUUGAUGACGAGUGGCGGACGGGUGAGUAAUAUUUGGGAAACUACCUGAUAGAGGGGGACAACAGUUGGAAACGACUGCUAAUACCGCAUAAAGCCUGAGGGUGAAAGCAGCAAUGCGCUAUCAGAUGUGCCCAAACGGGAUUAGCUAGUAGGUGAGGUAAAGGCUCACCUAGGCGACGAUCUCUAGCUGGUCUGAGAGGAUGAUCAGCCACAUUGGGACUGAGACACGGCCCAGACUCCUACGGGAGGCAGCAGUAGGGAAUAUUGCACAAUGGGGGGAAACCCUGAUGCAGCGACGCCGCGUGAGUGAAGAAGUGUUUCGGCACGUAAAGCUCUAUCAGCAGGGAAGAAAAUGACGGUACCUGACUAAGAAGCCCCGGCUAACUACGUG
rnacentral:rRNA from 1 species